AUCGUUCAACUCGAAAGAGUCGGAAGUAGGCGUAAAGCCGAAGGAACGCAUG
ncrna:unclassified sequences Glutamine riboswitch